rnacentral:misc_RNA from 1 species
UUCAGAAUGACUGCGCAGCUUGUCAGCAGCAAGGCUGUAUUCUCGAAGGACCAAAAAACUGUAUGGUACAGUCUAUGGUUGAGUGAGAGAUGACAUGUGAGGGAAGGUUAUGAGGGAAACCAAACCCAAUGAAAGUCGAUCUAACACUAAAUUUAUUAAGAUUAUUUUGAGUAUAUAUAGGCAGAAGUACAGACGUCAUUUGACGUCAAUCGUAGCAAACAAAUAUCAAUUUCAUUAGAAAUCUGCAUAAGAAAAAUAACAAUUUCGUAAUAAAUCAGCUAAAUUAAAGAGGUUACUAAUUAGCAAAACAAUCAUAUUGCUCAAUGUGCGUUGACCCGUACAUCCUGCCGACUCAAAGAAGAAAGAUAAUUUUGAUAUUAAAAUCUACAAUAACAAUAAUAACAAUACAAUUAAAAUUUAAGUACCUAGAUUUAAAUAACUUAUAUAAUAAUCAUCACUGCACUACUCUUUAAUUGGUAUGUCCAGUCGAACGAAUCGCGGUCGCGCGCUCGGGGGAGCAGGGGCCUCCUGGUCUUCGUUCUUAUCUGCUGCAACUGGAACUGCGGUCGUGGAGACGUCUUUCACAGCACUGCGCUGUAUAAUUUUGUUUCUGCGAUAUCGCAUGGUACCGUAGAGACAUCCCGCAACAAUGAUAGACCCUAAGAUUAUAUACAAGACAGAGUACUGAUGUAUAUCGUGUAUACUGAGUGAUGCGCUUUACACAGAUCGG